GAAAUGCGAUAAGUAAUGUGAAUUGCAGAAUUCAGUGAAUCAUCGAAUCUUUGAACGCACAUUGCGCUCGCCAGUAUUCUGGCGAGCAUGCCUGUUCGAGCGUCAUUUCAACCAUCAAGCUCUGCUUGCGUUGGGGAUCCGCGGCUGCCCGCGGUCCCUCAAAAACAGUGGCGGGCUCGCUAGUCACACCGAGCGUAGUAACGCUACAUCGCUAUGGUCGUGCGGCGGGUUCUUGCCGUAAAACCCCCAAUUUCUAAGGUUGACCUCGGAUCAGGUAGGAAUACCCGCUGAACUUAAGC
rnacentral:misc_RNA from 1 species